UACGUAGGGAGCGAGCGUUGUCCGGAAUUACUGGGCGUAAAGAGUGCGUAGGCGGCACAUCAAGUCAGGUGUGAAAUAUCACGGCUCAACCGUGAGGGUGCAUUUGAAACUGGUGAGCUUGAGUAUGGGAGAGGGAAGCGGAAUUCCUGGUGUAGCGGUGGAAUGCAUAGAGAUCAGGAGGAAGACCGGUGGCGAAGGCGGCUUUCUGGACCAAAACUGACGCUGAGGCACGAAAGCGUGGGGAGCAAACAGGAUUAGAUACCCUGGUAGUCCACACUGUAAACGAUGGAUACUAGGUGUGGGAGGUAUCGACCCCUUCCGUGCCGAAGUUAACGCAAUAAGUAUCCCGCCUGGGGAGUACGGCCGCAAGGUUGAA
rnacentral:rRNA from 1 species